AACUAAUAAUAGAAAUAGUUUAUUGUUAAACUAUCACUUAUUUAUUUCGAUAAAUAACAUUUAAAACUAUCUCUAACAAUGUUUAUUUAAAAUGUUUUCCAACACUGUCAUAACAGCAAUUAAUUGUCAAUCUUAUCAACUUCCUACUUCCUUAAUGUUAUUUUGAAUUUCGGAAUUUAAUUUAUGAAAAUUUUAAGUACAAAGUUUGUCAAAUCAAGACAAAGUAAUGAAAGUAUUCGGUAUUAAAUCCAAUAAUCAAUCGGAAUUUCGCACGGUUUACAAUAUUCAAUAAUAUGAAAUAAGCUUUUCGAAUUAUGGGAAAAGAACUCUUGGGUUUUAAUACCACUAUGACUGCACUCCACUUUAGUUGAGACUACGUUAAGGAACGGACCGCUUUAGGUACUAGAGAAUUGUAUCUACCAGCUGUGAAAACAUCGCCAGCAUCAAGUGUUGUUACGUGUGCUUUCUCAUGAUCAAUAUGGUGAAUACACUCAUCCGCACUGUAACCCAAAAAACAUGUGAGAU